rnacentral:rRNA from 1 species
ACCCGCUGAACUUAAGCAUAUCAAUAAGCGGAGGAAAAGAGACCAACAGGGAUUGCUCUAGUAACGGCGAGUGAAGCAGCAAUAGCUCAAAUUUGAAAUCUGGCGUCUUCGACGUCCGAGUUGUAAUUUGUAGAGGAUGCUUCUGAGUGGCCACCGACCUAAGUUCCUUGGAACAGGACGUCAUAGAGGGUGAGAAUCCCGUAUGCGGUCGGAAAGGCGCUCUAUACGUAGCUCCUUCGACGAGUCGAGUUGUUUGGGAAUGCAGCUCUAAAUGGGAGGUAAAUUUCUUCUAAAGCUAAAUAUUGGCCAGAGACCGAUAGCGCACAAGUAGAGUGAUCGAAAGAUGAAAAGCACUUUGGAAAGAGAGUUAAAAAGCACGUGAAAUUGUUAAAAGGGAAGGGAUUGCAACCAGACUUGCUCGCGGUGUUCCGCCGGUCUUCUGACCGGUCUACUCGCCGCGUUGCAGGCCAGCAUCGUCUGGUGCCGCUGGAUAAGACUUGAGGAAUGUAGCUCCCUCGGGAGUGUUAUAGCCUCUUGUGAUGCAGCGAGCGCCGGGCGAGGUCCGCGCUUCGGCUAGGAUGCUGGCGUAAUGGUCGUAAUCCGCCCGUCUUGAAACACGGACCAAGGAGUCUAACAUCUAUGCGAGUGUUCGGGUGUCAAACCCCUACGCGUAAUGAAAGUGAGCGGAGGUGAGAACCGCAAGGUGCAUCAUCGACCGAUCCUGAUGUCUUCGGAUGGAUUUGAGUAAGAGCAUAGCUGUUGGGACCCGAAAGAUGGUGAACUAUGCCUGAAUAGGGUGAAGCCAGAGGAAACUCUGGUGGAGGCUCGCAGCGGUUCUGACGUGCAAAUCGAUCGUCAAAUUUGGGUAUAGGGGCGAAAGACUAAUCGAACCAUCUAGUAGCUGGUUCCUGCCGAAGUUUCCCU